GGAAACGUAUCGAAGAGGUCGCACCGAGCCGCACUCGAAAUGCGGUUGUCGAGAAAUCGGCACGUGGGUUCGAAUCCCACCGUUUCCGCCA
rnacentral:tRNA from 1 species